AUGCAUGGAGAAAUGCUCAACUCCUGAUGCAUUUGCGAAAAGGCCUUCACAAGCCUCUGCUAUCUUGUACAUAGUUUAUACUAAGUGACCCCUAGAUUGAGGAGGCGGUGACCAUGGCGGUGUAGCCCCCCAAAUGUUGGGGCAUAUAAAAAAAGACAACUCUGUUCCGCAAAGUAGCUGCUGACAUGAUAGUUGCGCAGGUACUUUGUUGACUCUAGAGAACUUCUGGCCAAUCGCAAAUCCACGUGACAGCGACUUUGCAUUCGGAUGUCAUCCAUAUCAACUUUCGAUGCCAGUUUCUGCGCCUACCAUGGUGACCACGUGUAAUGGGGAAUCAGGGUUCCAUUCCGUACAGGGACCCUGAGAAAUGGCUUCCACAUUUAAGGAAGGCAGCA